rnacentral:rRNA from 1 species
CCUACGGGUGGCAGCAGUGAGGAAUAUUGGUCAAUGGGCGCGAGCCUGAACCAGCCAAGUCGCGUGAGGGAAGACGGUCCUAUGGAUUGUAAACCUCUUUUGUCGGGGAGCAAAAGACGCCACGCGUGGCGUUCCGAGAGUACCCGAAGAAAAAGAAUCGGCUAACUCCGUGCCAGCAGCCGCGGUAAUACGGAGGAUGCGAGCGUUAUCCGGAUUUAUUGGGUUUAAGGGGGGCGCAGGCGGAAGAUCAAGUCAGCGGUAAAAUUGAGAGGCUCAACCUCUUCGAGCCGUUGACACUGGUGUUCUUGAGUGAGUGAGAAGUAUGCGGAAGGCGUGGUGUAGCGGUGAAAUGCAUAGAUAUCACGCAGAACUCCGAUUGCGAAGGCAGCAUACCGGCGCUCAACUGACGCUCAUGCACGAAAGUGUGGGUAUCGAACAGGAUAAGAUACCCGGGUAGUC